rnacentral:tRNA from 1 species
UCUCCAUUCAUCUAGCGGUCUAGGAUACCUCCCUUUCACGGUGGCAACACGAGUUCGAAUCUCGUAUGGAGAACCA